rnacentral:rRNA from 1 species
GAAUGCUGACAUGAGUAACGAUAAGGGGAGUGAAAAACUCCCCCGCCGGAAGACCAAGGUUUCCUGUCCCAUGUUAAUCAGGGCAGGGUAAGUCGGCCCCUAAGGCGAGGCGGAAACGCGUAGUCGAUGGGAAACAGAUUAAUAUUUCUGUACUUCUAUAUAUUGCGAAGGAGGGACGGAGUAGGCUAGGUGAGCACGGCGUUGGUAGUCCGUGUGAAAGUAUGUAGGCGGUUGUCUUAGGUAAAUCCGGGACUUCAUUAACGCUGAGAUACGAGACGAGACUCUACGGAGUUGAAGUCAUUGAUGCCAUGCUUCCAGGAAAAGCUUCUAAGCUUCAGAUAUAUAGGAACCGUACCCCAAACCGACACAGGUGGUCAGGUAGAGAAUACUAAGGCGCUUGAGAGAACUCGGGUGAAGGAACUAGGCAAAAUAGUACCGUAACUUCGGGAGAAGGUACGCUCUCUAAUGUGAAUGACUUGCUCAGUAAGCAUCGGAGAGUCGAAGUAACCAGGUGGCUGGAACUGUUUAUUAAAAACACAGCACUGUGCAAAAUCGAAAGAUGACGUAUACGGUGUGACGCCUGCCCGGUGCCGGAAGGUUAAUUGAUUGGGUUAGCUCUGCGAAGCUCAUGAUCGAAGCCCCGGUAAACGGCGGCCGUAACAAUAACGGUCCUAAGGUAGCGAAAUUCCUUGUCGGGUAAGUUCCGACCUGCACGAAUGGUGUAACCAUGGCCACGCUGUCUCCACCCGAGACUCAGUGAAAUUGAAAUCGCAGUGAAGAUGCUGUGUACCCGCGGCUAGACGGAAAGACCCCGUGAACCUUUACUACAGCUUGGCACUGAACAUUGAACCUACAUGUGUAGGAUAGGUGGGAGACUUUGAAGCUAAGACGCUAGUCUUAGUGGAGUCAUCCUUGAAAUACCACCCUUGAUGAAUUGGUAAUCUAACCUGCUUCCAUUAUCUGGAAGGGGGACAGUGCAUGGUGGGUAGUUUGACUGGGGCGGUCGCCUCCAAAAGAGUAACGGAGGCGCUCAAAGGUACCCUCAAUAUGGUCAGAAACUAUAUGUAGAGCGCAAAGGUAAAAGGGUGCUUAACUGCGAGACCUACAAGUCGAGCAGAGUCGAAAGACGGACUUAGUGAUCCGGCGAUUCCGUGUGGAAGGGUCGUCGCUCAACGGAUAAAAGCUACCCCGGGGAUAACAGGCUUAUUUUCUCCAAGAGAUCAUAUCGACGAGAAAGUUUGGCACCUCGAUGUCGGCUCAUCGCAUCCUGGAGCUGUAGUAGGUUCCAAGGGUUAGGCUGUUCGCCUAUUAAAGCGGUACGUGAGCUGGGUUCAGAACGUCGUGAGACAGUUCGGUCCCUAUCUGUUGUGGGCGUUGGAAUAUUGAUGAGAUCUGCUCUUAGUACGAGAGGACCAGAGUGGACGAACCGAUGGUGAACCAGUUGUCUUGCCAAAGGCAUAGCUGGGUAGCUAAGUUCGGAAAGGAUAACCGCUGAAAGCAUCUAAGUGGGAAGCCUACUUAAAGAUUAAUAUUCCCUUGAGAUUCCUUGUAGACUACGAGGUUGAUAGGCUGGACGUGUAAGUGUAGCGAUACAUUAAGCUUACCAGUACUAAUAAAUCGAUAGGUUUAAAACU